GGCAUUGUCGCUAAGACGGUUAAAACACCUGUCUCGUAAACAGGAGAUCCUGGGUUCAAAUCCCAGCAAUGCCU